CCUACGGGCGGCAGCAGUGAGGAAUAUUGGUCAAUGGCCGGAAGGCUGAACCAGCCAUGCCGCGUGAAGGUCAGUGCCCUAUGGGCGUUAAACUUCUUUUGUGCGGGAGCAAUAAUGGUCACGUGUGGCCAGACGAGAGUACCGUACGAAUAAGCAUCGGCUAACUCCGUGCCAGCAGCCGCGGUAAUACGGGGGAUGCAAGCGUUAUCCGGAUUUAUUGGGGUUAAAGGGUGCGUAGGCUGUGAGUUAAGUCAGCGGUGAAAUGCCCCCGCUCAACGGGGUGAAGUGCCAUUGAUACUGCCUUGCUGGAAUGCGGUUGCCGUGGGAGGAAUGUGGGGUGUAGCGGUGAAAUGCAUAGAUAUCACACAGAACACCGAUUGCGAAGGCAUCUCACGAAUCCGCGAUUGACGCUGAUGCACGAAAGCGUGGGUAUCAAACAGGAUUAGAUACCCCUUGUAGUC
rnacentral:rRNA from 1 species